GUGACCUCGGAUCAGGUAGGAAUACCCGCUGAACUUAAGCAUAUAUAAACCGGGAAGAAAAGUUUUUUUGGGCUGACUGGUGGC
rnacentral:rRNA from 1 species